UACGGAGAGGGCUAGCGUUGUUCGGAAUCACUGGGCGUAAAGCGCACGUAGGCGGAUCUUUAAGUCAGGGGUGAAAUCCCGAGGCUCAACCUCGGAACUGCCUUUGAUACUGGGGAUCUCGAGUCCGGGAGAGGUGAGUGGAACUGCGAGUGUAGAGGUGAAAUUCGUAGAUAUUCGCAAGAACACCAGUGGCGAAGGCGGCUCACUGGCCCGGAACUGACGCUGAGGUGCGAAAGCGUGGGGAGCGAACAGG
rnacentral:rRNA from 1 species